GCGACGGGGGGGGCGGUCCUAUACAUGCAAGUCGAACGCUUCUUUCCUCCCGAGUGCUUGCACUCAAUUGGAAAGAGGAGUGGCGGACGGGUGAGUAACACGUGGGUAACCUACCCAUCAGAGGGGGAUAACACUUGGAAACAGGUGCUAAUACCGCAUAACAGUUUAUGCCGCAUGGCAUAAGAGUGAAAGGCGCUUUCGGGUGUCGCUGAUGGAUGGACCCGCGGUGCAUUAGCUAGUUGGUGAGGUAACGGCUCACCAAGGCCACGAUGCAUAGCCGACCUGAGAGGGUGAUCGGCCACACUGGGACUGAGACACGGCCCAGACUCCUACGGGAGGCAGCAGUAGGGAAUCUUCGGCAAUGGACGAAAGUCUGACCGAGCAACGCCGCGUGAGUGAAGAAGGUUUUCGGAUCGUAAAACUCUGUUGUUAGAGAAGAACAAGGACGUUAGUAACUGAACGUCCCCUGACGGUAUCUAACCAGAAAGCCACGGCUAACUACGUGCCAGCAGCCGCGGUAAUACGUAGGUGGCAAGCGUUGUCCGGAUUUAUUGGGCGUAAAGCGAGCGCAGGCGGUUUCUUAAGUCUGAUGUGAAAGCCCCCGGCUCAACCGGGGAGGGUCAUUGGAAACUGGGAGACUUGAGUGCAGAAGAGGAGAGUGGAAUUCCAUGUGUAGCGGUGAAAUGCGUAGAUAUAUGGAGGAACACCAGUGGCGAAGGCGGCUCUCUGGUCUGUAACUGACGCUGAGGCUCGAAAGCGUGGGGAGCAAACAGGAUUAGAUACCCUGGUAGUCCACGCCGUAAACGAUGAGUGCUAAGUGUUGGAGGGUUUCCGCCCUUCAGUGCUGCAGCAAACGCAUUAAGCACUCCGCCCUGGGGAGUACGAACGCAUGUUGAACUCAAAGAAUGACUGGGACCCGCACAGCGGUGAAGCAUGUGGUUUUAGUUCGAAGGCCACCGC
rnacentral:rRNA from 1 species